rnacentral:rRNA from 1 species
UACGUAGGGUGCGAGCGUUGUCCGGAAUUAUUGGGCGUAAAGAGCUCGUAGGCGGUGUGUCGCGUCGGCCGUGAAAACCUGGGGCUCAACUCUGGGCGUGCGGUCGAUACGGGCAUCACUUGAGUUCGGCAGGGGAGACUGGAAUUCCUGGUGUAGCGGUGAAAUGCGCAGAUAUCAGGAGGAACACCGGUGGCGAAGGCGGCCGGCUGGGGGUGCCCUGACGCUGAGGCGCGAAAGCGUGGGGAGCGAACCGG